AAUUUCACCAUCCUCACCUCCCCACAGCACAUCUGAGGCCCAUCUGGAGAAUGGUUACCAGAGGCUGGGAAGGGUAGUGGGAGAUUGAGGGGAGGUGGGGAUAGUUGAACUCUCGUGAGUUCAAUUGUUUUCAUUUUUAGAGCCCACAAAUAACUAAGAACAUGCAAUGUUUGUCUUUCUGUUCCUGGCUUAUUUCGCUUAACAUAAUGAUCUUCAGCUUCAUCCAUGAAGUCCUGCAACAUUUUCGGUGCCCAAUGUGGGGCUCAAAAAGCGGCCAUCAGACUCCAAACAGUUAUGCAACUGGAGCCUCCUGAGGAUGACCCCUUCUGCCUGGGACCCUUAGAUCAGCCUCUAGAGAAGCUUUGACUGCUGUUUCCCCAAAACAGCACCCCCUGCCAUCAGGAAGCAAAAGCCAUGUUGGUUCACCACAUGUAUCGCAUCCUGAUAAUGUGAAGUGAAAAAGUAGAGCCUGGAAGCCUUUGUAAGAUGACUGUGCCAGAGGAGGAAGAUAAAUAUCUCGAUGCUAUGGAGGCCUGUCAGCUCUUUGAAGUAUCUGGGCAAUAUCAAGAUUUCUACUUCAGAUGAAAAAACAAAUAGUUAUUCAUUGACCCUGUUGCCGCCAAGAAAGAGGUGAAAGGUGAACCCCCAACCCACGGAAAGAUCCAGCCAAGUAAGGAACUGCAAAAUAUUGAAUGACUAAUUCUCCAAACAAGAAACUCAGGAAUUCUGCUCUUGGGAAGAUGGAUUAGAUGUAUUAUUCUUUACUCUUCCCACUAACUACAACUAAAACCUCAGACUUACAUAUAAAACAAGCAUAAGGAGACUCUGAACGGUGAAGAGAAGAAGGUGGACUUACUGGAGAUCUUAAGACCCAAGAAAUAAUGGAGAAGAGAACAAGAAGAUUUAUACUAGCCAUGCAAGGAAUCUUUGGAAGUCUAACAGACCUGACUUGAAGAGAAGGCUUUAAACAAGAAAUUCUUCAUUCUGGAACAGUGAUUCUUAAAGUGCGGUUCAGAGACCCUGGGAGACACUGACAUUCUUUCAGAGUGUGAGUGAGGAUUUCCUCUUUGCAACUACAAUCUGUGUAAGGUUGGAUUUUCUUUACAUACAUAAACUAAAAUAAGAUUGCAAUAAGAUGAAUGCAGAAGCAGAUAAGAGAAUCCAGCUGUCUUAAGUUAGACUUCACAGAGAUUUGCAAAAAUCCAAACAAGACCACUCUCGUCAUUAAAGUUAUUUUCCAUUUGUUAUGGUGAACUUAUUUUGCAGGAAAUUUGUUAUUUAUAGUAACAUACAAUUUUGUUUUUUGAUCAUUUUAAAUAAAUUAAUAAAUAUUAUAAGUUUUCUAUUUUUAAAAUUAUACAUGUCAGAAAAGAACAGUUCUUUCAGGUCCUCAACAAUUUUAAGACUAUUAACUUGUUUUGGAUCAAAAAGUUCUAGAUUUGCUAUUCUAGACAUGAAUCCUUUGAAAUUAAUUGGCUUCAUAAGUAUAUUUUUCAAGUUUGUGGCUUGUCCUGUAACCUUCUACUGUGUAGAAGUUUUAAAUUUUAAUUUAAAGAAAUUUAAAAUUUUUUCAUUUUUGUUUGUGCUUUUGGUGUCAUAUUUAGGAAAUCCUUCUCUACCUUGAGUUCAUGAAAAUAUCCUCUUAUAUUUAGUAUUUACAGUUUGUUCUUCAUCUUUAGGUCUAUAAUUUAUUGAAAAUAUAGUUUUGUAUGUGAUGUAAGCUAAAGAUAUUUUUUAAAACUUGAUAUGGAUAACACAUUUUGGCAAUAUUAUUCAUCCACUCAUUCUCCCACUGACUUUCCCUCUGCCACUUACUUACCUACAUAAGAAUUUGUCGUGGAGAUUCUCUUUUCUAUUCUUUUAGUCUAAUGGCUUAAUUGUUGAUCAAUUACCCUUUUUAACUAUUGAUGCUUUAGAGUAAGUCUUGAUAUAAAGCCAUGUAAGUCCCUUGAAUUAGUCUCCCACUUUUCCUUCUUAAAAACAUUCUGGGAUCUUCUUGGCCUUUAACUCCUCUGACUUAAUUUUAGGAUCAAUUUCUCAGAUUACAUUAACAACCUGUUCAAAUUGCAUAGAUUUUAUAGGUAAAUCUGUAUAAAAUUUACAUGUUAUAAUAUUGGGGCUUUUUAUUCAUAAACAUUUUCACCAACGUUUUAGUUUCAUAUCUUCCAAUAAGAUUUUAUAAUUUUUCAUACCUAUCUUAGAUGAUUUUGGUUGCAUUUAUUUUUUAUAGUUUUAGUUUUAUUGUCAAUGCAGCUUUUUCCAAUUCAAUUUUAUAACAGUUUUGCUGGUUAAAAAAAAAAAAAAGACUAUUUAUUUUGUGUAUUGGUUUUUAAAUUGUACAAUGUUUCUGAAUUUUCUUACUUCCAAACAGUCGUCUAUAAAUUAUCUUGAUUGUCUAAAAUGUGAAAUUCAUAUACUAUGAGAAUGAUAAUUUUAUUUUUUCAUUUUCAAUUCUUAAACUUCUGAUGACACUUGGCUGGAACCUCCUUCACUAGGUUGAAAAUAAGUGGCAACAGUGGUAUCCUUGUUCUGUUAUUGAUUCCAAGAGCCUGCCUCUAAUGUUUCCCCAUGUAUUAUGAUGUUUGUGUAAAUUUUGAUAGACCUUAUUUAUUAAGUAAAAAGAUUCUCUUCUAGUUCAAGUUUGGUCUACAAGUUUUUAUUGUGAAAGUGAACUGAAUUUUAGAAAUACCUUUUAAUGUGUAUAAAAAAUUAUAUCUUUAUUUCUGUUAAUGUGAUAAAUUACAUUAAGAGAUUUUAUUAAUAUUUGGUUAUCUUUGUAUUUCAACAAUUAUUUGGUUAUCUUUGUAUUUCAACAAUUAUAGUCAUAUUAUUAAAUAUUAAUUUGGUUAGCUAAUAUUUUAUUUUUAUGAUUUUGACAUCUACUUUCAUAAGUAACUUUAUUUUUAACUGGUUUUACUGCCAAGGUUAUACUCUCAUAGUAACUGGGGGUUUGUUACAUAGGUAUACACGUGACAUGGUGGUUUGCUGCACCCAUCAACCUGUCAUCUACAUUAGGUAUUUCUCCUAGUGCUAUCCCUCCCCCUUACCUCCACCCCCUCACAGGAACCGGUGUGUGAUGUUCCAUUCCCUGUGUCCAUAUGUUCUCGUUGUUCAACUCCCACUUAUGAGAACAUGUGUGGUGUUUGGUUUUCUGUUCUUGUGACAGUUUGCUAAGAAUGAUGGUUUCUAGCUUCAUCCAUGUCCCUGCAAAGGACAUGAACUCAUCCUUUUUUAUGGAUGUAUAAUAUUCCAUGGUGUAUAUGUGCCACAUUUUCUUUACCUAGUCUAUCAUUGAUGGGCAUUCGGGUUGGUUCCAAGUCUUUGCUAUUGUGAACAGUGCUGCAAUAAACAUAUGUGUGCAUGUGUCUUUAUAAUAGAAUGGUUCAUAAUCCUUUAUGUAUAUACCCAGUAAUGGGAUUGCUGAGGCCAAUGGUGUUCCUGGUUCUAGAUCCUUGAGGAACCACCACACUAUCUUCCACAAUGGUUGAACUAAUUGAUACUUCCACCAACAGUGUAAAAGCGUUCCUGUUUCUCCAUAUCCUCUCUAGCAUCCAUUGUAUCCUGACUUUUAAAUGAUCACCAUUCUAACUGGUGUGAGAUGGUAUCUCAUUGUGGUUUUGAUUUGUGUUUCUCUAAUGACCAGUGAUGAUGAGCUUUUCUUCAUGUUUGUUGGCUGCAUAAUGUCUUCUUUUGAGAAGUGCUCAUUCAUAUUCUUUGCUCACUUUUUGAUGGCAUUGUUUUUUUCUUGCAAAUUUGUUUAAGUUCUUUGUAGAUUCUGGAUAUUAGCCCUUUGUCAGAUGGAUAGAUUGCAAAAUUUUUCUCCCAAUCGGCAGGUUGCCUGUUCACUCUGAUGAUAGUUUCUUUUGCUGUGCAGAAGUUCUUUAGUUUAAUUAGAUCCCAUUUGUCAAUUUUGGCUUUUGUGCCCAUUGCUUUUGGUGUUUUAGUCAUGAAGUCUUUGCCCAUGCCUAUGUCCUGAAUAGUAUUGCCUAGGUUUUCUUCUACGGUUUUUACGGUUUUAGGUCUUGGGUUUACGUCUUUAAUCCAUCUUGAGUGAAUUUCUGUAUAAGGUGUAAGGAAGGGGUCCAGUUUCAGUUUUCUGCAUAUGGCUAGCCAGUUUUCCCGACACCAUUUAUUAAAUAGGGAAUCCUUUCCCCAUUGAUUGUUUUUGUCAGGUUUGUCAAAGGUCAGAUGGUUGUAGAUGUGUGGUGUUAUUUCUGAGGCCUCUAUUGUGUUCCAUUGGUCUAUAUAUCUGUUUUGGUACCAGUACCAUGCUGUUUUGGUUACUGUAGCCUUGUAGUAUGGUUUGAAGUCAGGUAGCAUGAUGCCUCCAGCUUUGUUCUUUUUGCUUAGGAUUGUCUUGGCUAUGCGGGCUCUUUUUUUGUUCCAGAUGAAACUUAAAGUAGUUUUUUUCUAAUUCUGUGAAGAAAGUCAAUGGUAACUUGAUGGGGAUAGCACUGAAUCUGUAAAUUACUUUGGGCAGUAUGGCCAUUUUCACAAUAUUGAUUCUUCCUAUCCAUGAUCAUGGGAUGUUUUUCCAUUUAUUUGUGUCCUCUCUGAUUUCCUUGAGCAGUGGUUUGUAGUUCUCCUUGAAGAGGUCCUUCACAUCCCUCGUAGGUUGUAUUCCUAGGUAUUUUAUUCUCUUUGUAGCAAUUGUGAAUGGAAGUACACUCAUAAUUUGGCUGUUUUUCUGUUAUUGGUUUAUAGGAAUGCUUGUGAUUUUUGCACAUUGAUUUUGUAUCCUGAGACUUUGCUGAAGUUGCUUAUCAGCUUAAGGAGAUUUUGGGCUGAUAUGAUGGGGUUUUCUAAAUAUACAAUCAUGUCAUCUGCAAACAGAGACAACUUGACUUCCUCUUUUACUAUUUGAAUACCCUUUAUUUCUUUCUCUUGCCUGAACGCCCUGGCCAGAACUUCCCAUACUAUGUUGAAUAGGAGUCGUAAGAGAGGGCAUCCUUGUCUUGUGCCAGUUUUCAAAGGGAAUUCUUCCAGUUAUUGCCCAUUCAGUAUGGUAUUGGCUGUGGGUUUGUCAUAAAUAGCUCUUAUUAUUUUGAGAUAUGUUUCAUCAAUACCUAGAUUAUUGAGAAUUUUUAGCAUGAAUGGGUGUUGAAUUUUGACAAAGGCCUUUUCUGCAUCUAAUCAUGUGGUUUUUGUCAUUGAUUCUGUUUAUGUGAUGGAUUAUGUUUAUUGAUGUACGUAUGUUGAACCAGCCUUGCAUCCCAGGGAUGAAGCCGACUUGAUUGUGGUAGAUAAGCUUUUUGAUGUGCUACUGGAUUCAGUUUGCCAGUAUUUUGUUGAGGAUUUUCGCACCAAUGUUCAUCAGGGAUAUUGGCCUGAAAUUUUCUUUUUUUUUUUGUUGUGUCUUGGUAUCAGGAUGAUGAUGGCCUCAUAAAAUGAGGUAGGGAGGAUUCCCUCUUUUUCUAUUGAUUGGAAUCGUUUCAGAAGGAAUGGUACCAGCUUCUCUUCGUACCUCUGGUAGAAUUUGACUGUGAAUCCAUCUGGUCCUGGACUUUUUGUGGUUGGUAGGCUAUUAAUUAGUGCCUCAAUUUUAGAACUUGUCGUCUAUUCAGGGAUUCGACUUCUUCCUGGUUUAGACUUUGGAGGAUGUAUGUGUCCAGGAAUUUAUCCAUUUCUUCUAGAUUUCCUAUUUUAUUUGUAUAGAGGUGUUUAUAGUAUUCUCAGAUGGUAGUUUGAAUUUCCGUGGGAUCACUGGUGACAUCCCCUUUAUCAUUUUUUAUUGCAUCUAUUUGAUUGUUCUCUCUUUUCUUCUUUCUUCGUCUGGCUAGCAGUGUAUCUAUUUUGUUGAUCUUUUCAAAAAACCAGGUAAUGGAUUCAUUGAUUUUUUAGAAGAGUUUUUUGUGUCUCUAUUUCCUUCAGUUCUGCUAGCUUUUGAAUUUGUUUGCUCUUACUUCUCUAGCACUUUUAAUUGUGAUGUUAGAGUGUAAAUUUUAGAUCAUUCCUGCUUUCUAUUGUGUGCAUUUAGUGCUAUAAACUUCCCUCUGGUACUUUGAGUCUGUGUUCUCAUUGCUUUCAGAGAAUAUUUACCCAGUAAGUCAUUCAGGAGCAGGUUGUUCAGUUUCCAUGUAGUUGUGCAGUUUUGAGUGAGUUUCUUAAUCCUGAGUUCUAAUUGGAUUGCACUGUGAUCUCAGAGACUGUUUAUGAUUUCUGUUCUUUUGCAUUUGCUGAGGAGUGUUUUACUUCCAAUUAUGUGGUCACUAUUAGAAUAAGUGUGAUGUGGUGCUGAGAAGAAUGUAUAUUCUGUUGAUUUGGGGUGGAGAGUUCUGUAGAAGUCUAUUAGGUCUGCUUGUUCCAGAGCUGAGUUCAAGUCAAGUCCUGAAUAUCCUUGUUAAUUUUCUGUCAUGUUGAUCAGUCUAUUAUUGGCAGUGGUGUGUUAAAUUGUGUGGGAGUCUAAGUCUCUUUGUAGGUCUCUAAGAACUUGCUUUAUGAAUCCGGGCGCUCCUGCAUUGGGUGCAUCUAUAUUUAAGACAGUUAGCUGUUCUUGUUACAUUGAUCCCUUUACCAUAUUUAAUGCCCUUCUUCGUCUCUUUUGAUCUUUGUUGGUUUAAAGUCUGUUUUAUCAGAGACUAGAAUUGCAACUCCUGCUUUUUUUUUUUUUUUUUUUUUUUUUUUUUUUUUUUUUUUGCUAUUUGCUUGGUAAAUAUCCCUCCAUCCCUUUAUUUUGAGCCUAUGUGUGUCUUUGCACGUGAGAUGGGUCUCCUGAACACAGCACACUGAUAGGUCUUGACUCUUUAUCCAAUUUGCCAGUCUGUGUCUUUUAACUGGGGGCAUUUAGCCCAUUUACAUUUAAGGUUAAUAUUGUUAUGUAUGAAUAUGAUCCUGUCAUUGUGAUGCUAGCUGGUUAUUGUGCCUGUUAGUUGAUGCAGUUUCUUCAUAGUGUUGAUGGCCUUUACAAUUUGUUACGUUUGUGGUACCAGUUGUUCUUUUCCAUGUUCAGUGCUUCCUUCAGGAGCUCUGGUAAGGCAGGCCUGGUGGUGACAAAAUCUCUCAGCAUUUGCUUGUCUGUAAAGAAUUUUAUUUCUCUUUCACUUAUGAAGCUUAGUUUGGCUGGAUAUGAAAUUCUGGCUUGAAAAUUCUUUUCUUUAAGAAUGUCGAAUAUGGGCCCCCACUCUCUUCUGGCUUGCAGGGUUUCUGCAGAGGGAUCCACUGUUAGUCUGAUGGGCUUCCCUUUGUGGGUAACCUGACCUUUCUAUCUGGCUGCCCUUAACAUUUUUUCGUUCAUUUCAACCUUUGUGAAUCUGAUGAUUAUGUGUCUUGGGGUUGCUCUUCUCAAGGAGUAUCUUUGUGGUGUUCUCUGUAUUUCCUGAAUUUGAAUGUUGGCCUGUCUUGCUAGGUUGGGGAAGUUCUCCUGGAUAAUAUCCUGAAGAGUGUUUUCCAUUCUCCCCAUCACUUUCAGGUACAACAAUCAAAGGCAGAUUUAGUCUUUUCACAUAGUCCCAUAUUUCUUGGAGGCUUUGUUUGUUCCUUUUUAUUCUUUUCUCUCUAAUCUUGUCUUCUCACUUUAUUUCAUUAAGUUGAUCUUCAAUCUCUGAUAUUGUUUCUUCUGCUUUAUUGAUUUGGCUAUUGAUACUUGUGUAUGCUUCACGAAAUUUUUGAGCUGUGUUUUUCAGCUCCAUCAGGUCAUUUAUGUUGUUAUCUAAACUGGUUAUUCAUGUUAGCAAUUCUUCUGACCUUUUUUCAAGGUUCUUAGCUUCCUUGCAUUUGGUUAGAACAUGCUCUUUUAGCUCAGAGGAGUUCGUUAUUACCCACCUUCUGUCAAUUCGUCAAACUUAUUCUCUGUCCAGUUUUGUUCCCUUGCUGGUGAGGAGGUGUGAUCCUUUGGAGGGGAAGAGGCAUUCUGGUUUUUGAAAUUUUCAGCCCUUUCGAGCUAGUUUCUCCCCAUCUUCGUGGAUUUAUCUACCAUUGGUGUUUGAUUUUGGUGACCUUCGGAUGGGGUCUCUGAGUGGACGUCCUUUCUUAUUGAUGUUAAUGCUAUUCCUUUCUGUUUGUUAAUUUUUCUUCUAACAAUCAGAACCCUCUGCUGCAGGUCUGCUGGAGUUUUCUGGAGGUCCACUCCAGACCCUAUUUGCCUGGAUAUCACCAGCAGAGGCUACAGAACAGCAAAGAUUGCUGCCUGUUCCUUCCUCUGAAAACUUCAUCCCAGAGGGGCACCUGCCAGAUGCCAGCCAGAGCUCUCCUUUAUGAAGUGUCUUUUGUCCCCUACUGGGAGGUGUCUCCCAGUCAGGAGACGUGGGGUCGGGACCCACUUGAGGAGUCAGUCUGUUCCUUAGCAGAGAUCAAAUGCUGUGCUGGGAGAUCUGCUGCUCUCUUCAGAGCCAUCAGGCAGGGAUGUUUAAGUCUGCCUAAGCUGCACUCACAGUGCCCCUUGCCCCAGGUGCUCUGUCCCAGGGAGAUAGAUAGGAGUUUUAUCUAUUAGCCCCUGACUGGGGCUCCUGCCUUUUUUUUCACAAAUGCCCUGCCCAGAGAGGAGGAAUCUAGAAAGGCGGUCUGGCCACAGCAGACUUGCUGAGCUGUUGUGGGCUCUGCCCAGUUUGAACUUCCUGGUGACUUUAUUUACACUGUGAAGGUAAAACAGCCUACUCAAGCCUCAGUAAUGGCAGACGCCCCUCCCCAGCUCGAGCAUCUCAGGUCAACCUCAGACUGCUGUGCUGGCAGCGAGAAUUUCAAGCCAGUGGAUCUUAGCUUGCUGGGUUCUGUGAGUGUGGCACCUGCCCAGCCAGACCACUUGGCCCCCUGGCCUCAGCCCCCUUUCCAGGGCAGUGAAUGGUUCUGUCCUGGCAGUGAAUGGUUCUGUCCUGCUGGCAUUCCAGGUGCCAUUGGGGUAUGAAAAAAAGCUCCUGCAGCUAGCUAGGUGUCUUCCCAAAUUGCCACCCAGUUUUGUGGUUGAAACCCAGGGCCCUGGUGGCGGAGGCACCAGAGGGAAUCUCUUGGUCUGCGGGUUGCAAAGACUGCGAUGUAUCUGGGCUGGAGUACACCGUUCACAGUCUUUCACAGCUUCCCUUGGCUAGGGCAGGGAAUCCCUGACCCCUUGCGCUCCCCAGGUGAGGCAAUGCCCCACUUUGCUUCAGCUUGCCCUCCGUGGGCUGCACCCACUGUCCAACGAGUCCCAAUGAAAUGAAUUGGGUACCUCAAUUGGAAAUGUAGAAAUCACCCAUCUUCUGCAUUGAUCUCGCUGGGAUCUGCAGACCGGAGCUGUUCCUAUUUGGCCAUCUUGCCCAGAAUCUCAA
rnacentral:lncRNA from 1 species